UGGGAUCGAUUUAGCCAUGCUAGUCGCACGAGUUCAGACUCGUGGCGAAUAGCUCAGUAACACGUGGCCAAACUACCCUUCGGAACACAAUACCCUCGGGAAACUGAGGCUAAUAGUGUAUACCAUACCACCACUGGAAUGAGUGGUAUGCCAAACGCUCCGGCGCCGAAGGAUGUGGCUGCGGCCGAUUAGGUAGACGGUGGGGUAACGGCCCACCGUGCCAAUAAUCGGUAUGGGUCAUGAGAGUGAGAACCCAGAGACGGAAUCUGAGACAAGAUUCCGGGCCCUACGGGGCGCAGCAGGCGCGAAACCUUUACACUGCACGACAGUGCGAUAGGGGGAUCCCAAGUGCACAGGCAUAGCGCCUGUGCUUUUCGGUACCCUAAGGCGGUACCAGAAUAAGGGCUGGGCAAGACCGGUGCCAGCCGCCGCGGUAAUACCGGCAGCCCAAGUGAUGGCCGAUCUUAUUGGGCCUAAAGCGUCCGUAGCUGGCCGCGCAAGUCCAUCGGGAAAUCCACCUGCUCAACAGGUGGGCGCCCGGUAGAAACUGCGUGGCUUGGGACCGGAAGGCGCGACGGGUACGUCCGGGGUAGGAGUGAAAUCCCGUAAUCCUGGACGGACCGCCGAUGGCGAAAGCACGUCGCGAGAACGGAUCCGACAGUGAGGGACGAAAGCCAGGGUCUCGAACCGGAUUAGAUACCCGGGUAGUCCUGGCCGUAAACAAUGUCUGCUAGGUGUGGCUCCCACUACGAGUGGGUGCUGUGCCGUAGGGAAGCCGCUAAGCAGACCGCCUGGGAAGUACGUCCGCAAGGAUGAAACUUAAAGGAAUUGGCGGGGGAGCACUACAACCGGAGGAGCCUGCGGUUUAAUUGGACUCAACGCCGGACAUCUCACCAGCAUCGACUGUAGUAAUGACGAUCAGGUUGAUGACCUUAUCCGA
rnacentral:rRNA from 1 species